UACGUAGGGUGCAAGCGUUUGUCCGGAAUCAUUGGGCGUAAAGAGCUCGUAGGCGGUUUGUCGCGUCUGCUGUGAAAACCGGAGGCUCAACCUCCGGCCUGCAGUGGGUACGGGCAAACUAGAGUGCGGUAGGGGAGAUUGGAAUUCCUGGUGUAGCGGUGGAAUGCGCAGAUAUCAGGAGGAACACCGAUAGCGAAGGCAGAUCUCUGGGCCGUAACUGACGCUGAGGAGCGAAAGCGUGGGGAGCGAACAGG
rnacentral:rRNA from 1 species